rnacentral:rRNA from 1 species
UACGUAGGGUGCAAGCGUUGUCCGGAAUUAUUGGGCGUAAAGAGUUCGUAGGCGGUUCGUUAAGUUCGAUGUUAAAGACCGGGGCCCAACCCCGGGACUGCAUUGAAUACUGGCGGACUCGAGUGCAGUAGAGGCAAGAGGAAUUCCCAGUGUAGCGGUGAAAUGCGCAGAUAUCAGGAGGAACACCGGUGGCGAAGGCGGGUCUCUGGGCCGAUACUGACACUGAGGCGCGAAAGCGUGGGGAGCGAACAGG